rnacentral:rRNA from 1 species
GACGAACGCUGGCGGCGUGCUUAACACAUGCAAGUCGAACGGAAAGGCCCCUUUGGGGGUCCUCGAGUGGCGAACGGGUGAGUAACACGUGAGUAACCUGCCCUUGACUUCGGGAUAACUUCAGGAAACUGGGGCUAAUACCGGAUAGGAAUCCUUGCUGCAUGGUGGGGGUUGGAAAGCUUCGGCGGUUUUGGAUGGACUUGGGGCUUAUCAGCUUGUUGGUGGGGUAGUGGCUUACCAAGGCUUUGCCGGGAAGCCGGCCUGGGAGGGCGACCGGCCACAUUGGGACUGAGAUACGGCCCAGACGCCGACGGGAGGCAGCAGUGGGGAAUAUUGAACAAUGGGCGGAAGCCUGAUGCAGCACCGCCGCGUGCGGGAUGACGGCCUUCGGGUUGUAAACCGCUUUCAGCAGGGGCGAAGCUUGUGGUGACGGUACCUGCAGAAGAAGCACCGGCUAACUACGUG